rnacentral:misc_RNA from 1 species
AAGUCGUAACAAGGUUUCCGUAGGUGAACCUGCGGAAGGAUCAUUAAGAGAAACAUUGCCUAUAGAACUACCGCUCGAUUGUAACUGUUCCAAUGUUCGCACGUAGCCAGAGGUCUCUGAAUCACUACAACUUUCCGGGCUAUGAUUUAUCAGAGAUUGCGAACUACGCGGGUUACAAGAGCAGGAUGAAGGUUCACGGGGGGGGUUUUAACGUUUGGAUCAGUGUCGGAAAGUGUCAUUGAUUGUGCAAGGAUAGCGCUUCUACGAUUCCUGUCGACCGUACACUUGGCAGGAGCUUUGCCAAAGGGUCCCCAUGCCCCCUAAUAACCCCACAGUUUAAUGUGAAGCUCAAUGUUAUCCAUUGGGUAAAAAAACCGAACAACUGUUAACAAUGGAUAUCUUGGUUCUC